AUCCUCGGAGUCAUCCUCAACACGAACAAAUCUUUCGCCUUUUACUAAAGAUUUCCGUGGGGGUGACUCACUACGAGCAACUAUCCAAAUUUUUUUCCCCUGCCCCACUCUACGAGGGGGGCG
rnacentral:snRNA from 1 species